CCGGCGGGUGCUGUGCGAGCCCCACGCCCCGGCGAAGCGCCGAGGCUCGCCCCCGGCCGCAGGGGCGGCCCAGAUCCGGGUUGGCACCUGCUGCCCUCCUGUUGGCCGCCCGGGUCCUAACAGUCGCGGAAGGCCCCGAGGGUUGGCCCCUCGUUGGUGAAGAGAAGGUGAGGGUCAUACCACGUCACGGGAUUGGAGUCAGAGCGAGCGUGACAACGCCGGCCGCAUCGCGGGGCCCUCGGUGGGCGGUGGGUCAAUCAAUGGCCAUCGUCCACUGAGCUGCAGCCAGAGGAAAGCACCAAGCCACACAAAGCGCUCACCUCUGGACCAUGGCGAUGGCAGACUCCACGGGCAGUGUGCAAGGAAGCACCAUGUAUGACAUUACCUUAAUCGGAAAACCACCUCCUCUGUCAGCCCGCCCCCCUGCAGAGUCAGCACCUGCCGUGAGCUUGGGCGACAGUGUGUCCAAGAUGCUCUCAU